GCAGCCAAACAGCAAGUCGAGCGGAUGACGGGAGCUUGCUCCUUGAAUUCAGCGGCGGACGGUUGAAGUAAUGCCUAGGAAUCUGCCUGGUAGUGGGGGACAACGUUUCGAAAGGAACGCUAAUACCGCAUACGUCCUACGGGAGAAAGCAGGGGACCUUCGGGCCUUGCGCUAUCAUGACCUAGGUCCGAUACUCUUGGAGGGGGGGGGGGUCCCCCU
rnacentral:rRNA from 1 species